UACGUAGGCAGCAAGCGUUGUUCGGAGUUACUGGGCGUAAAGCGCACGUAGGCGGAUUGCUAAGUCAGGGGUGAAAUCCUGGAGCUCAACUCCAGAACUGCCUUUGAUACUGGCGACCUUGAGUCCGGGAGAGGUGAGUGGAACUGCGAGUGUAGAGGUGAAAUUCGUAGAUAUUCGCAAGAACACCAGUGGCGAAGGCGGCUCACUGGCCCGGUACUGACGCUGAGGUGCGAAAGCGUGGGGAGCAAACAGG
rnacentral:rRNA from 1 species